UGUUACCUGGUACAUGAUCCACACCAGACAUGUCUCCCUCUGCAGUCCCCCAAUGCCAUUUCUCUUAACUGAACUAGCUCUCUGUGUGUUCAGACCUCCUACACCACAUACCGUAUCCGGGUGGAUUCCUAACAACAGAAGUUGAUUUCUCGCAGAUUGGAUGCCUGGUAAACUUGAGAUCAAGGUGAUGGCAGAUAUGGCAGCUGGGCUUCCCUUUCUGGCUCACAAUGGAAACUUUGGGUUGUCCUUCACAUCACAGAAGGAAGAAGCAGUUGCCUUUGGACUUUCUUGCAAGAAUACGGUCCUUUGGGAAUUAUGACAGUAACACAUUGCCUUGAUUACUUUUAAAUGUCAAUUAGACUCAACCUGGGAAGAGAGUCUCUCUCUCUCUCUCUCUCUCUUUUUUUUUUUUUUGAGACAGGGUUUCUCUUUGUAGCCCUGGCUGAACUGGAACUCACUCUGUAGACCAGGGUGGCCUCAGACUCAGAAAUCUGCCUGUCUCUGCCUCCCAAGUGCUGGGAUUACAGGCAUGUGCCAAAACUGAUAUAUAUAUAUAUAUAUAUAUAUUACAUCAGGCUGUCUUAUGAACGUGUUCCUGGGAAACUGUCUUGAUUGAUGUGGGGAGACCCAGCUCACUGCUGGUGGCACCAUUCCCUAGGCUGGAGAUUCUGAACUGUACAUGGGUGAAAGCUAGCUGAGAGCAAGAAGCAGAGAUUCAUGCAUGUACUCUGUCUGCUCCUAAGUGAGGGUGAAGUGUGCCUGCCUUGAUUUCCCCACAAUGAUGGACUGAUGCCUGGAAUUCUGAGCCUAAUCAACCCUUCCUUCCCUACGUCGCUUUGGUGAAUGGAACACAUUUUAGGAUGUACAAAUGUCCAGACAUUAGCAUCGUCCCAGUCCCAAGCUGCUGAACUGAAGGGCGCCCUCUGCCUCCUCAGUGAUGCAAUGACCCUCUCCCAGGCCCCUCUUUAGCUGUCACACCUCCUCUCUCUACCCAUCGUUUCCUUCCUGGGAACAGGUUAGCUUGCUCCCACAGUGCUCUGGGAGGAUUCCAUUUGUUAGGGUGACUUCAGGUGCUGUGACAGAUGCCAACGCACUAUGGGCAUAAAAAGGGUAAAAGAUGGGUUGGCAAGAUGGCUCAACUUGUCUAGGUUCAUGCCAAGCCUACAACCCAAAUUCAUUCCUCAGAUUGGCAGAAGGACAGAGCCAGCUUUUAAAGGUCGCCUUCUGAUUUCUGCACACGUGCCACGGCACGUGUGCACCCCUCCUCCCACAAGGUAUUUAUUGGAGGAGCAAACGUUGCUUCCAUACAUGCUAAGUGGAAGGUUCCAGAGAGUCACACAGAAAAACAGAUGUGUGGAGGGCUGAUUGGAAUGAUGUCAAGGAACUGGUACUGUGUGGCUCACUGAGGUCCCUCCUACAGGCUAGACUGAAGGGCAGAGAGCACGGCAACCCCGUCUCUCUGCCUUAUAUUGCAGUCUAAGGCCUGAGACAUGGUAGAAACUAAAGAGUAUAUAUGUACCCCAAGUCAAUCAAUAAGUAAAUAAGGCAAUGAAUGAAUUAAUAUUGGG
rnacentral:lncRNA from 1 species